GACCGGCUUCUCUGAAUCAGGCCAGGCUCUGGCGGCAAUGUGCAUCCCUGCCGAGAGGUGCCUGGACGACUCUGGUGCAUUUACUCACUUGGAAGUAACCCAGACAGGUCAGGCAUUCAUGCAAAGAUCCCCUGGGCUUUUUUACUUUUUUAUUUCUUUAAAUGUCGUGUUUUCUAUUCAGUUCUACGUUUUCUAAUCCAGGGUUUCUCAACCUCGGCACUACUGACAUCCAGGGCUGGAUAAUUCAUUGUCGUUCUGUGCGUCGUAGGAUAUCUAGCAACACCCCUGGCUUCCACUCAUCAGAUGCCAGCAGUACCCUCUCCUCUCUUACGCUAGCCAAAAUACUUCUCGUGUUGCCAGCCAGAUAUCCCCUGCAGGGCAAAAUCACUCCCCACUGAGAACCAGGGAUCUCACUGCAGCCUCAGUCCAGCGAAAUGGAGAGAAAUUCCAGUCAAGGAGCCCUUAGGCUUAGAAAAUGAGAUCACAGGAGUUGAGUGACCCUCCCGAGAGACAUCUUCCUCUAAGCAGCUUAUAAAGGAACACGUGACAAGAUUUCCAAGUGCACAAAGAUCUGCAAUCUGCAAAGUAUGGGAGAAAACAGGAAGGCAUAAACUGGUCCCCACCAUCUGAGCUCUCUAACGUACCUGCACCCUGGUCUCUUGCCAUCACUGGUAUCCGCACAGACCCACACUGGACAGUACACAUCACGCCGAUGAAAGGUCCAACUAGACACUCCCGGACACCACCACCUGGAUGUCCUAAACUCAAUUCAUCUUCCCCCACAAACCUGCCAUUGCUUCUCUUCCGCCCCUCACCCAGCCAACAGUGCCACCCACCCAUGGAACAUGGCUUCCCUCAGGCCUCUGCUUCCCCACCUGGCCUCACCCCCACCUCCAUACAAAGGCUGCGCACGCUCAACGGGGUGCUACUCCUUCCACACCAACUUCUGACCUGCUCUCCUCCUGCCAAUCCAAGCUGGACCUUUCUACCAGGCUGCUGCCUGUCCAUCCCUCAGAGCGCCACCCAGCCGCCAUCGUCCCCAGGAAGUCUCGUCUGCUCAGUUCUGCCUUUUCCAGAAAUGGUAAAAGCAAGCUGCCACGAAAAUUCUGUGGAGUUCUAUGCUGCAAUCUAUACAAGAGUACGUACACAAUUGAAGGAACACUCGACCAUCUUCUUUGAUCACAAUGAACUUUAAAAAUCAUUCAUUCUCUGAUACAAAUAAGUUGUUUAUUUAUUCAGUCCACAAAAAUCAGAGAAGAGGAGGGCACCAGGAACUGCAGCCGGGCAGGACAGAACCCACCUUCUCUGCUUCAAGCAAUACAGGGCACCUGCCUUUCCCUUGCAAACAGCUCUCCCCUCUGAAGACUAAGGCAAAGCUCAUCCCAAAGAGCAGGAAAUUCAGGGAACUGAGGAUAAAUUCAACUGUUGUUGGGAGCAGCGUGAUGUAAGACAAGUGGCAAUAAAGGGCAUGCUGAAAAUGCUCUUAUUAAAUCAAUUAUCUUGGACACUGAAACUUCAGAUACAGCCUCCACAAGUUUUCUCUUCUUUUUGUCCAAGUUUGGGCUACUUCUAACAACGUAAAAGAAAACGCAGCAGGAGGAACAGGAAAUCCCUGAAGCAACUUUACUGACCCUUCAUAAGCAUCUCUUCCCAUCCGGAGGCCUGUGGGUUAUCAAUCUGUACUUUAAAGAUUCCCAUUCCUUCCCCCUCUUUCACUCCCGUCCUUCUCCUCUACCUCUUUCUGUGUCUAUUUUCCCCCACAGCCCUCAUUUUUACUCUCUCGGCUGGGAAUGCUUCGUAUUACCGACUCUUCCAAUUUGGCAGUAAACUUUUCCUGUAGGUGUGAGAUGCUCUGUGCUCCCAUAGGAAAAAAAAUCCUACGCUAUGGAAAAUGUAUCCAAAGCCCUCCUUUCUCUCAUCAUUUGGAAAAAGGGGAGACAGGCAAAAAGCCAACUGAAAACGAAAGUUAUUCUUUCCUGAAAGAACAGCCUGAUCAGGGGCGCCUGGGUGGCUCAGUGGGUUAAGCAUCUGACUUCGGCUCAGGUCAUGAUCUCGCGGUCCGUGGGUUCGAGCCCCAUGUCGGGCUCUGUGCUGACAGCUCAGAGCCUGGAGCCUGUUUCGGAUUCUGUGUCUCCCUCUUUCUCUGACCCUCCCCUGUUCAUGCUCUCUCUCUCUGUGUGUCUCAAA